AAGAAGAAGAAGACUGUAAUGAUGAAGUCAGUGUUGCUGCUGACCCUGCUGACUCUGUCCUCAGACAGUUUUCUUGACACUGUGACCAGCGCAGCGUACAUCAAUGGGUGGAAAUAAGUCAAAGUGUGGAGGAGACGAGGGACCGGGAAAAAUGGUGGACCUCUGGGGAAGCCUGCUCCGUUCUCCCUGCAGUUAGGGACCGUUCGCCACGGUACCGCUGCUGGGCAGGGUGGAAAUACGUCCUGCAGAGUUUCAGAGGACCUGGAGAAUGUUUUAGGAUAGUAAUAACAUUAUGAUAAUCAAAUUGCAAAGAUAAUAUAUAUAAGAUAAUAACAUUAAAGACAAAAUUAAAUUGCAAUACUUUUUCAAAACUUGAUGAUUUUACCUUUCUGUACAUUUUGUAUACAAAUUCAUUAAAUAAUUUUGCUUGUAAAUGUCUAUUUGCAUCACGUUUAUUACGGAAAACACAUUAUUUGAUCAAUUUACAUUGUGGCCCUAAAGUUCUUUGUGCGCUCCUUACUUUUUCAACUUAGGAGCACAUGUGCUCCUUGGGAAAAAAGUCAGUGUCAAGCCCUGAUGUGUGUAGCACAAUCAUAUUCAUGGUCUAAGCAGCUUAGCACUGGUGGUCUUUAAGAGGUUUUAUACAUCCAGAGAACUUGAAAAAAUGACCUGCUUUGCAGCCUCAUUGGCAACCAGACCCGGUGAGUGUAGCCACACUGGAUAGUAAAAAGCAUUCAGUGUUUAAUGGUAGUUAAAGUGUCUUGAGUUGAGUCGUAAUAAUAGAUAUGUUGCACAAGAUUGUACACUGUAAAACACACGGGAGUUGCCAGAAUCCAAAUUGAAGGACAAAUGAUAAGACAGAAAAAAUAUCAUAAAAACACACAAGGAAAUGAAUAACAAGACUGAUCAAGUUACAGUUGGCAAGACAAGACUGUAAGAUUACAAGAUGGCGGCAGAAAAGAGUUACUGUUUCUGUGUCCUCCUUUC